AAGCAAAACGCGCCAAGUAUAUUUUGAGCAUUUGCAUGUUUUGUGUGUAACUGCUCCCUUGCUGCAAGAAUAAAGACUUCACAGACAUCGGUGAUCUCAGGCUCAUUAUUUGAAACUUGGUCCCUCGAGCUGGAUCCCAACAUCUCCUCCGCCACCCAGGUACGGGGACCUGAACCGCAUGGAGGAGCCUAGGACUCACAUCGUCCAUGGAGGUUCCAGGCCAACCACAACAAGCCAUCCGUGGAGGUUGAGGCGAACCGCGCAGAUCCUACUUGGAGGCCGAGCCGCACCGCAGAGAUACAUCCGUAGAUGACUCAGGGAACAAACCACGAUCCAUCCGUUGAGGCGCAUCCUCUUUGAGGACAUUUGAGCUUUCAAAAAGACGCCAGGAUCGUCUGGGUGGUGGAGAAGUGAUGGGAUCAUACUAGAACUGCCGAGAUACUGCACUUUGAAAACAAAGACCCGGACCCCCACCUUAUAGAUGAGCUCAAACCAACUCACAGACUGAUGACCGACUGGACAGAGGAACAAACAGGCUGAAGGAGAACUGAAAUCAGACAAAGAAGUUCAACCUGGUGACUGGAUCUUCAUAAAGGUUAUGAAAAAGAAGUCCUGGGCAGACCCACGGUGGGAGGGACUAUUCCAAGUGCUGCUAACUAUACCCACAGCUGUAAAAAUAGUUGACCGUUCACUCCUGGAUUAAUCUCUCUCACUAUAAGAAGGGACAAGAACCACGGUCGAAAUAAUUCUGCCUAGAGUCUCUUAAGGACUAGCUCGGCUACAAAGGGGAAUGAAACCAGUAGGGCCACUCGUCUCAACACGAGUUAAGGAAUUACAAAGGUCCAGAGACACUAGUGAGCGGGCUCAACCAUGGCCAGACUGGCAUUGAACUUCCUAAUUAGUACUGCCUAUGAACUCUACGUUGUGAAAGGUAUUCAUACUCCAAUUUAUCGAGGCAACCCAGUGCAUGGGGGCUCCUGAGGACCAAUUAACACUGUAAAAUUUGACCUGUGCCAACAGAGAACUGGUUACAUCUGGGCAAAGAACUAUGUAUGUGAAACACCCUUGAUAGAGAGUCCUGGACCAACCAGGUACUUGGUGUGAUAGUUGGCAUAAUGCAUGGGGGCUCCUGAGGACCAAUUAACACUGUAAAAUUUGACCUGUGCCAACAGAGAACUGGUUACAUCUGGGCAAAGAACUAUGUAUGUGAAACACCCUUGAUAGAGAGUCCUGGACCAACCAGGUACUUGGUGCGAUAGUUGGCAUAAUGUUAUUUCUAACUCUGGGAUAUCAAAGUGGGGCUACACACCCCCACUAGCUUCACACGGACCUGAACCCCUGACCCAACGUAUGACUAUGUAUCAAGGCCAAACACCCACAAGCGGUUCUACAGAUGAUUGUAAUACAAUUUACCUCACCCUUAAGAAUCCGAAACCCUCAGAUUUUGGCC